CCUUUUCAAGAACAGAUAAACCCCCAAAUCCCUAUUUCAUUCUUAUCCCCAUUUUCUCUCUCACAAAUUUCAACGAUGGACAAGAUUUGCAGCGACGUUCGCCACCACCGUGACAAAUCUCGUUGACCACAACGUUCGCCGUUCACCGACGCGAGGCAGAGCUCCACCUUAUUUUCUCUCACUCUGGCUCUCUCACUACUCCCCAUCACCUUCUCCGCUGUGUCUCGGCAACAAAUGCUAUAUUGAAAAUUUUGGCCGAUUAACUGCUAAUUCGCAGUUCGAUUGCUGCUUCACAAGUGUUAGAUUGUUGAAAAUAGGAUUUAUGAAACCGAAUGGGGAAUUUCAAUGGUGAUUGUCGAACUUUUUUUAAUGGCGGUCAAUUCCUGUGAGGAGGUGAGAUUUCAAUUUCUUUUAGCACCCGCAAUUGUGUUCUACUUCAGAUUAAGCUGCAUUUUCGUCCUUCUCUUUUCCAAGUUUAUUAGCAUUAAUUUAUGCAUUUCGAUGUUCUGUUCCGAUUCAGUUUUCCUGAUUUCCGCGUUUGUUUCAUAUACUAAUAUCUUCUGGGCUUUUGGUAUUCAUGUGUUUGGUUUAUGUUGUAUGAAACUUGCAUAUCCGUUGAGUUUGUAUUAUUGCUAUGAUGUUGAAGGUGAAACCCUAACUCUUAGGAACUGCAUUGCUGAGGUAAUCUCUUCAGCUUUGGCCUGGUCGAGUAAUUUUGAGCUCUCCUUGCAUCUGCUAAAGUUAUCUUUUUGUUUUUUGAAUCUAUCUGCAACAGUUAUCUGCUUACACCAUUUGUGGUAGUUCCAACUCAUGAAAUUUGAGAUGAUAACGAAUAUGACGAUCGAUUUGCAUUUCCAUUUUGCUACAGUGACAUUGAAUCGGAAUGGAUAGCGGAGGAUGAGCUUGGUGUAUACAUCACCAUCAGACAGCUUCUUGAUGGCACUAGAGAGCUUCGGCAUGUCAAAUUCAGCACACUCGGUCAGGGGGCAGUAAGCAUCUCAGGGAAGUCUUGUUUUCUAUAGCAGUAGCCAUUUUGGGACUCCUCUUAUUUGCUCUGCUCAUUGGUAAUAUGCAAGGUCCCUCUUGUUGAUAAGUUUUGGGUUCUUCUUGGUUUCUUUGGGUACUCAGCGGUGCUAUAUAUGCAUUUUGUAACAUCCAUCAUUCAAGAAAUAACAGUAGCUCUGGGAAUUUACUGCUUCAGGAUAACUAGAAAAGAAGCUUAAGCUGUUACUACUGCACGAUUUUCGCUGUGCCUGCUUGUAUCUUGAGGUAUCAACAAAUCAAUUUGGGACUCUCUCUUAUUUGCUUCCAAUUUGAAGGUAACAAGCAUUGAUAAGACUUGGAUUAAAUUCCCUAGGAAUA